CCCCGCGCUGACUCCAUCCGCCUCCCCGCCCCCUGCUCGGAGCCGGGGCCAGGCGCGAAGGGAGGGAGCGGGCCCGAGACUGCAUCAUUCCGCACCGGCUGCAGCACAGCCAGAGGGAGCAGGUGGAGCGAGCGAGCGAGCGAGCCGCGAGCCGGGGAGCGCCAGGCCCCGGGGAGACUGCAGUGACGCUGCCCGGGAGACAUGGCGGCCGGGCGCCUCUGAAUAAGCAGAAUCCGGAGCCCCUCGUCGUCCCCGGCCGCCGCAGCCCAGGCCAUGCCGCACGGCUGCUGACCCAGAGGACACAUGCGGCAGCGGCGGCCGCCUCGCCCCUGAUCCUCUCCCCGCGUUCUCCAUGUUGCGUUUCUCCUCAGUUUCUCCGGCAGUGUAGCCGCUGCCGCCGGAGCAGCAGUCGGGGAAUCGUUGCUCCUUCAUCCAGCCACACUUUUCUUUUCCAUUUUUACCCUUCCCUCCCCACCUCCUUCCCCCUUCCCCCGCCUGCUCUGCGUCCGUCUCCCCACCCCGACGCCCCCUCCUGCCUCCGUCCACCGGGGCUAUGGCCGCAGAAGAGGUAUUGCAGACUGUGGACCAUUAUAAGACUGAGAUAGAGAGGCUGACCAAGGAGCUCACAGAGACGACCCACGAGAAGAUCCAGGCUGCCGAGUACGGGCUGGUGGUCCUGGAGGAGAAGCUGACCCUCAAACAGCAGUAUGACGAGCUGGAGGCUGAGUACGACAGCCUCAAACAGGAGCUGGAGCAGCUGAAAGAGGCCUUUGGGCAGUCCUUCUCCAUCCACCGGAAGGUUGCUGAGGAUGGAGAGACUCGGGAGGAAACGCUUCUGCAGGAGUCUGCAUCAAAGGAAGCUUACUAUCUGGGGAAGAUCUUGGAGAUGCAGAACGAACUGAAACAGAGCCGGGCUGUGGUCACCAACGUUCAGGCAGAAAAUGAGAGGCUCACAGCCGUUGUGCAGGAUCUGAAGGAGAACAAUGAGAUGGUGGAGCUACAGAGAAUACGGAUGAAGGAUGAAAUCCGAGAAUACAAAUUCCGAGAGGCCCGCCUCCUUCAGGACUACACUGAGCUGGAAGAAGAAAAUAUCACGUUGCAGAAACUCGUGUCCACAUUAAAGCAGAACCAGGUUGAAUAUGAAGGCUUAAAGCAUGAGAUUAAGCGAUUUGAGGAGGAAACUGUGCUUCUCAACAGCCAGCUGGAAGAUGCCAUCCGGUUGAAAGAGAUCGCGGAGCACCAACUGGAAGAAGCCCUUGAGACCUUAAAAAACGAGCGGGAGCAAAAGAACAUCCUGCGAAAGGAGCUCUCCCAGUACAUCACCCUCAACGAUAACCAUAUCAGCAUCACUGUCGACGGACUCAAGUUCUCGGAGGACGCGAGUGAACCCAACAAUGACGACAAAAUGAAUGGGCAUAUCCACGGGCCCCUUGUGAAACUGAAUGGAGACUAUCGGACUCCCACUUUAAGGAAAGGAGAGUCUCUACACCCUGUUUCUGACUUAUUCAGUGAGCUGAACAUUUCAGAAAUACAGAAGCUGAAGCAGCAACUUAUGCAGGUAGAGCGGGAAAAGGCCAUUCUUCUGGCCAAUCUCCAGGAGUCACAGACGCAGCUGGAGCACACCAAGGGGGCGCUGACAGAGCAGCACGAACGGGUGCACCGGCUCACAGAACAUGUUAAUGCCAUGAGAGGCCUACAGAGCAGCAAAGAACUCAAGGCUGAGCUGGAUGGGGAGAAGGGCCGGGACUCAGGGGAGGAGGCCCAUGACUACGAAGUGGACAUCAAUGGCUUAGAGAUCCUCGAAUGCAAAUAUAGGGUGGCAGUAACUGAGGUGAUUGAUUUGAAAGCUGAAAUUAAGGCCUUAAAGGAGAAAUAUAAUAAAUCUGUAGAAAACUAUACUGAAGAGAAAGCCAAAUAUGAGAGUAAGAUCCAAAUGUAUGAUGAGCAGGUUACAAGUCUUGAGAAGACCACCAAGGAGAGUGGAGAGAAGAUGGCCCACAUGGAGAAGGAAUUGCAAAAGAUGACCGGCAUAGCCAACGAAAAUCACAAUACCCUUAAUACAGCCCAGGAUGAGUUGGUGACAUUUAGUGAGGAGCUAGCCCAGCUUUACCACCAUGUAUGUCUGUGUAAUAACGAAACCCCCAACAGGGUCAUGCUGGACUACUAUAGGCAGAGCAGAGUCACUCGUAGUGGCAGCCUGAAAGGGCCUGAUGACCCCAGGGGACUUUUGUCUCCACGAUUAGCCAGGAGAGGUGUGUCAUCCCCAGUAGAAACAAGGACCUCAUCUGAACCAGUUUCAAAAGAAAACACAGAGGCCAGCAAAGAACCAAGUCCAACCAAGACCCCCACAAUCUCGCCUGUUAUUACUGCCCCACCAUCAUCUCCAGUAUUAGACACAAGUGACAUCCGCAAAGAGCCAAUGAAUAUCUACAACCUUAAUGCCAUAAUCCGGGACCAAAUCAAGCAUCUGCAGAAAGCUGUGGACCGGUCCUUGCAACUGUCUCGUCAAAGAGCAGCGGCACGGGAGCUGGCUCCCAUGAUCGAUAAAGACAAGGAAGCCUUAAUGGAAGAGAUACUCAAGCUCAAGUCCCUGCUGAGCACCAAACGGGAGCAGAUCGCCACACUGAGGGCAGUGCUGAAAGCCAAUAAACAGACAGCUGAGGUGGCACUAGCUAAUCUCAAGAACAAAUACGAAAAUGAGAAAGCAAUGGUGACUGAAACUAUGACGAAGCUUAGGAACGAACUGAAGGCUUUGAAAGAAGAUGCAGCGACUUUCUCAUCCCUGAGAGCAAUGUUUGCAACAAGAUGUGAUGAAUACGUCACACAGUUGGAUGAGAUGCAGAGACAGUUAGCAGCCGCAGAGGACGAGAAGAAGACUCUAAACACUUUGUUACGAAUGGCUAUCCAGCAAAAACUCGCCCUGACUCAGCGGCUGGAGGACUUAGAGUUUGACCAUGAGCAGUCCCGACGCAGCAAAGGCAAACUUGGAAAGAGCAAGAUCGGCAGCCCUAAAGUAAGUGGGGAGGCGUCAGUCACCGUGCCCACCGUAGACACUUACCUCCUGCAUAGUCAGGGCCCACAGACACCCAACAUUCGGGGCAGCAGUGGUACUCAGAGAAAAAGACAAUUUUCACCUUCCCUUUGUGAUCAGAGCCGUCCCAGGACUUCAGGGGCUACCUACCUACAGAAUUUAUUAAGAGUUCCCCCUGAUCCCACCUCCACAGAAUCAUUUCUUCUGAAGGGCCCCCCUUCCAUGAAUGAAUUCAUCCAAGGGCACCGGCUCAGCAAGGAAAAAAGGUUAACCGUGGCUCCACCAGCAUACAGACUCCAGUGUUCUCACCCAUAUUGCUACCAGCCUUGAUGAAUCUGAGUCAAAAAGGACCCUGUUGACAUCAACGAGUUUACAAUCAGGCAGCAGUCCUGACCUAGCUCUCCCUGAUGAGCAGCCACAUUCCAGCCCGCACUGCGCCCCUCUCCACUGUCUCUCCAAGCCUCCUUACCCCUAGUCUUCAACUCCCGUGGACGGAUAUCUAAGGUGAAUGCUUUGUAGCCACAUACAGAAUACUGCCCAAGAUCCAGCGGGUGUUUUCUUCUCGGUUGUGAGAUGUAGGAUUGGAUUCAUGUUCAUCAUUUUGGAAGAUGAGAGAAAGUAAAGAAAAAUAACACAAAGCACAGACUCCAGUGUGAUGAAACAUUUUAUGGUUUCUCUAAGUCUCACAGAUAAAAUUCUGCAAUCAAAUGGCUAUGGUUGAGUUCAAUGAAAACAAAAAAUAAAAGGAAACAGGAACUAUGUAUCUCAGAUGGCUGGCUUUACCUCGAUAGCAUAAGGAAGACCUAAGACAAUGUAAAAUACAUAUAUUGUAAAAUCAUCUUUCCUUGUACUUCAAAUUCAGCUAUAGAAGUUGAUUCCGAUAUUUUUUGUCAUUGAUAUUUAUUUUGUAUUUUAUUUGCCACAUGAUUUAUGUCUAUAAAAAUCAUUUCUGUGAGAGGUGAACUUAAUUCCUUUAUUGUUAAAUACGCAUAAUUUGCUCAAUUAAGUAUGAGUUUUAAUUUAGUUCGAAAUCUGGAAUUGGCCAGACUGUGGUCAUAUUUCUUGCACAAAAUAAUAAAUGAGGUGCAUCAGAAUGUUAACAAUAACUAUUUUGCUGCUACACUGAUAUUGUUUAUGCACUUAUUUUCUCAUCAGUAGCUCAUUAACUGCUGGUUGUUUUUUCUUUUUUUUUUUUAACUAGAAUUCUUCACUUGACAUCAGUAAGUAAAUCUAAGAAAGACUAUGUUAUGAUUCAUUGACUUAUUCAACUUUUGACAGCAUCUUUAAUUUUUUAAAAAUUGCAGACAAGUAGAUGCACUGGUGCUGCCCCUUUGUGUGUAUGUAUGUGUGUGUGAUAAUGUUAAGAAAGCUAAAUAACAUGAAGGGAAACAAAAAGCUGUGUUUAUGUAACGAUCAGAAUUUUUUUUUUUUACUUUCCCAAAUUCAGGGUCCUACUAUGAGUCUUUCCUGCAAAAGGGUAUCAAAUGGGAAAAUAUAUACAUAGAUAGAUGUAAGUUAGCCUUUGGUUAAUUAGUUUACCCAGAAAAGUGUUCAAUGUUUGAUUAAGAUUGUAUGUUUCGUUAUUGUUAGGUUUUUUUUUUUUUCUUAAUGAAUCUUCCUUGCCAAAAAAACAAUAAUAAACCUUAGCUCAUUGUCUACCUUUGACAAACACUCAGGUGCCUACAAUCAUUAUAUUAUAUUGAGAUAGUACAUGUUCUUAGUUCAUUUACAGCUUCUGCUGGGUAACUUUUAUGACUUGAUUUAAGGCAGUGGAUUUUCAUAGCAAAUUUCUUUUGCACAUAAUCUGACAAACAAGGAAAACAGCUAAUUUAGCUGAAAGGUCUAACACUCCUGGGCUCCUUAACUAUCAAGUGCUGCCCACACAAUUGCUCCUAGCCCUGGUUCCUUGUCUAGUCAGGUAGCCUUAACUUAUUUAAAACCAUAACGGUUUGACCUUUUCAUGUAACUAUAUCUGUAACUUCUCUUCAAAACAAAAACAAUCCUCACUGUUAACACAAAAGAUAGUUAACAAUGCAGGGCCCUAACAGUGGAGAUCUAGUUGUGGAGAUCUCAGCUUACUGAGUGGGAGUGGGUGGUACAUUAAUGGAUGGUCCAUCAAAGAUGGCAGCCAGUCGGUAAAUCAUAAAGCACAGUGCAGUUUUGUCAGUCGUACAUCUAUUAAGUAGUGGACACACUAUUACCAAAGCAACCAAGAGGUUUUGAGUUCCUUAUAUGAGUGCUAUUUUCAACAGUGUCAUUUAUUAUGCAACUUGGAGUAACUGGAAAUCUUCACCAAAAUAGAGAUUCAGGUUAAAAUACAAAAACAAGAAAUAAAACAAAUCUUCACAAAGUCCAGAUCAUGGCAACCUAAUGUUCUGCUCUUUCCUACCUGCAUUGCCUUGCUGUUCCUAAACAUUUGCUCCAUUUUAUCGGUGUUGUAUCUGUCUGUAAUCCAGUAUUAGUGAGACAGUGUGGGUUUUGUUGGAGUUCAAUUAAAAGAAACUACCCCACUCCCCAUUCCUGCUUUUUUCUUUUCUUUUUAUUUGGUUUUCAAGCAUCAUGUUUUUGGACCUGAGAAGUGGCAUAGCUGCUAAGUUGACUUUUAAUAAAAACUGUUUGUGCCUGAGGGAAAAUAUGCCUUUUUAAGAAGUACCUCAGAACAUCUUCCUGUGUUGCCUCAUCGAUUUUGUUGGUGGUACAGGGAACUGAGCAGGAAUUACUCACAGUACUGUCAAACAAUACUGUCUGUGUGCUGACUGACAGUGUGGUAUUGCUUUCAUGCUCCCUGACUCUGUAUUUAUGAACUGGUGAAAAAAACCACGCUAUAGAUGAAACAUUCAUUUCUUCCCAUGCAAAGUUUACCCUCGAGUCUAUUAUAUGCUGGUUUUAUCUCAGUUCUUUAUCUUAAUAGAGUGGGAAAUGCUUGUUUUGAAAUAUGAAUUCUAUAAACAUGUUAAUUUUAGCAAAAUGUUGCCAAGAAGAUAUAGAAACUUGGAAAUAAAUGUCUAAUUUUCAGCACAAAAUUAGAUAAUAGUCCCUAAGCAGUAGGAGAGAAUUCCAUGUAUUUACACUGUGGCAUCAUUUAGUCUAGUUUAAACUGAGCCAUAUCUGUAUUUAUUUAGAGGCAUUUAAAAGAAUAUGUGUGGCAUUGGUUAAAAUUAGUACCUGUAAAAAAAAAAAUCAGGAUUCAAAAGGAAAUUGAAAUUUAUUGAAGAAUCAGUGAAAACCAAAAAGAAUGAAUCCCAGUGAAACUAACUGAAGACAGACUUGGGGAAUAAAAACCAACUACUGAAAUACAAUAAAAUUUGGCUAAUUACUGGGAACACAGUGGGCAAAGAUUAAAGGUAACCAGUAAGAGUGGUUAGCAAAGUAAUUCGGUAGUUUUUUAAAAGUAAGCACAAUUACCAUCCUAAAAAGAAGUCAUUAGGCAGAAAUGCUUUCCUAAGUGAGGAUUCCUCUAAGCUAAAAAAUUAAAUUUAAGGGAUCAAUAAGUUGCCUUUGGCCUGAGUGCACAGGGGUAUACAGGACCCUUGGAUUAUUCUUUCCAAUCAACUUCUCAUUCAUCAGAUCCCUUUCAUACAUCCAAUUCUGCUUCAAUAAGAGGAAUUCAGAGAACUUUGAGAAAACAUAAAGCUAUUAAAUAAUUAAGAAAAGACCCAUUUAGAAAGAUGAUACUUUUAUUUAGCCUAAGGAAGAGGAGGUACAAUAGUAAUCUGCAAGGAAAGGAAAUUUAACAAGAGGUACCAGCUCUAGAUAUCAUUAUUAAGACUGGAAUAAGAAAAACUAAGUCUUUAAUGUGAAGGAUUUAUAUUACCUCCAUGAAAGAGAUUUUUAACAGUGGAAAAUGAAUCACUGAAAUUGAUAAUCAUAAGGAAUAUUGGUUUUUCAAAAAUUAAAUAUUAUUGGUUAUCUAGUAAGGAUUGAGUUAGGUGGCAAGGUAUCUUAUGAUAAUGUAUUAUAAUUCUGGGAUUCCAUAAUCUUAUGCUUCUUUUGAACUUAAAAAUACAUUAAAGUUAUGCUGAUUAGUUGUAAAAUAUUUUAUCCCUUGAAAAUAGGAUGGCAAUCUUAAUUUUUCCAAAAUAUCUGAUAAAAAAAGAAAAUCAUUGGUAUUAUUUUUUCUUCCAGCUAUAUUUCAUAAUAUCUUUAGUAAUUUUACUAUAAAAAGCCUCAAUUAUCAGAGUCUAAAAAAACAAAUAUCCUCAGGAAUACUUUGGAAAUAGAAGGUAUGCAAUCCCUUAGGGGGGCAAAUGCCUCUCAAAUUUUUAUCUUUUCUUAAAAGGAUCUUCAAUCUCAAUAUUUCCUCUUUCUAAUGCCUUGGAAAAUAUUCCUGUACAGAUAGUCCUUCUGUUUCAAUCAACCAUGAAACGUUGGUCAAAUAAACCAACUGUGAAUGUGGACAGUAUUAAAUAAAAUCCUCUACAAUUCUCAAGUAGAAAUUACAAAAUAUGAAAAAGAAGAAAUGAAAUAUAUUUUCUACUAGGAUAAGGAUGGCAAAUUUAAUGUGUAAUUGUUAUAAUCAAUCAGCCAAAAGACAUAAUCUGUCUUUCAGAAAGACACAUCAAGGGACACUAAUUGAUUUCCAGUAAGGAACUGUGCUGAUUCAGCCCAAGGAGGCCAAACACAUUGAUAUUGUAGAUAGAAAGUAGGACUAGAUUCAAAAGGAACUCUUAGGAUAAAGUUCACAAUUAAAAAAAAAAAAAUGUCCUCUGGGUUUUUUGUUUAUAAACCAGGAUGAUUUAAAAUAAUCCUUGUAUUUAAGAUUGCAAAAAAUUUAGAAGAAUAUGUUCAAAAAAGGAGAAAUAAUUCUUCAAAAAGUUGUUGAACUGGAGUUGUGAUAGAUGGCAUGAUCAGUGCUGAUAUCGACAAGUAAUUUUUACCUUGAAAUCCAUUUCUCUGGACAUAUAAGACCAAUCUAGCUCCCGAGUGACCUUUUCCACUGUCUGUAAUUAUGCCCCCAGAUGAGUUGCCUCUGUAAGUAAGUUCAUCUUUAUUUAAAUGCCAAGUUAACCGCUAUAGUCCCUAAUGUGUUGCAUUUGUAGCCUGAUCCAAUUAUGUUGACAUCUGAAAGAUUUUGUCGAGGCAUCUCUUUCAUCCUUCUUACUCAAAGUAUAACUGAAAAAGAUAUUUAGUAUUAAGAUAUGUUCCCCAAUUGAGGAUUUUCCAGAAAUAAUGUUCUACUUAAGAAGAGGAGUAAUUAACUGCCUUUACUAUAAGGGUGUGAGUACAUAAAAGUAUGUGUGUAAAAUGCAUGAGAAAUUUCACAUCAUGUAAGCUUUCCCAUAUUCAUAAUAUGAACACUAUAGGAGUCUUAUUUCUCUUGUGAUCUUCUCUGCAUUAGGAAUGUAAGGAGAUUAUUACCUAUAUCUGGUCUCCUUUCCAUAUUGAAAUGCAUGGCUCUAAUCCUCAAUGUAUUUUUAUCCCUUUCCUCCAGAGUUAUUUAAAAUUUGUCCUAUUUAAACUGAUGCCUGGAUAAACUACCAAGCCAGAUUAUUUCUGUGAUGGAGUUUAAGUGCUGUAGAACAUUGGCCGAGAACACAUUUUUUUUUUAAACUUUUCUUUCUUUCAGAAAUAUUCUCUGAUCGUUAUGGUUCUCUAAUAAAAACACUGAGAAGUAAAUCGGAUGCUUUUAGUGUGACUGUACGUUUUUCUUUCUAAAAAGUCAUUUAAAAGCAAAGAUCAGAGAACUAUGUAAAGAGAAAUGCCAUCUUUUUGUUGACAAACCAUUAUUCAGUAAUACUGAAUAUCCAGAAUGAAUCAUUCUGUCGUUUAGGUUUAUAGAUAUGAUUAUGCACCGAAUCUUAGAGGAAAGAAAUGAUUUUACCAUUAUCGCCACAAAAUUUUUAAGCUCCAUGGUUUGACUGUUAGAGUCAAUUAAACAAUUCUUUGAAAAUCUUUUAUGAUAUUUUUGUAAUCUACUCAGUGUUUUUAUUUGCAUGAUUACACGUAUAUGAUGAACCAUACAUGAUUCUGAAUUGUAUUUCUUUCCAGUAUUAACAUUUGUGUAAUGUGUGGCCAACCCUGAUUUGUACACUAUAUAAUUGUUGUUGUAAUGAUUCUGCUAUUCCUACAUUUAAUUGCAAUUUUGUUAUUAUGCCUUUUGGGAUUAAAUGAUGUGAAGUGUUUCCACCUAAUGAUAAUACCAUAUGAAAACAUGACUAAAAGACUGACCUAAGAAACUCUUUUGUUGCUAAUCAUUUUUUAAAAUCCAAAUUUCAAAGGAAACUUGUUCUCAAAGACAUAAGCAUUUAUUUUAAACUCAGAAAAAUUCUUAUGAAUUUAUUAUUGCUUGUCCUUUUUAAUUUUUUUAUUGUAGACAAUCCUAAGUGAAUGUCUCAUGGGAGAAUCCAUUUAUGAUAUGUGCUUGUAUUUGCGUAAACUGAUCAUGCAGUCAAUGGUUGGAAAAGGCACUCCAAUGCUAAGAAAAGCUGAUAUAUCAAUUCUUAUAUCUUGGUUUAUGUUACCAACUGAAUAUGGUGUAAUGCAAAACUCUUUCCAGUAAAUAAACUGGUUAUCUUUUGUUCAUUUCA